rnacentral:tRNA from 1 species
GCCUUAAUAGUCUAAAUAAGAUACCAGCAUGUGGGGCUGGAGAAGUUCUUCUUAGGGCA